rnacentral:rRNA from 1 species
AUUGAACGCUGGCGGCAGGCCUAACACAUGCAAGUCGAGCGAGCGGCGGACGGGUGAGUAAUGUCUGGGAAACUGCCUGCUGGAGGGGGAUAACUACUGGAAACGGUAGCUAAUACCGCAUACCAUCAGAUGUGCCCAGAUGGGAGUAACUAGUGGGUGGGGUAACGGCUCACCUAGGCGCCGAUCCCUAGCUGGUCUGAGAGGAUGACCCACCACACUGGAACUGAGAAACGGCCCAGACUCCUACGGGAGGCAGCAGUGGGGAAUAUUGAACAAUGGGCGCAAGCCUGAUGCAGCCAUGCCGCGUGUGUGAAGAAGGCCUUCGGGUUGUAAAGAACUUUCAGCGGGGAGGCGUUACCCGCAGAAGAAGCACCGGCUAACUCCGUGCCAGCCGCCGCGGUAAUUC